CCGAUGGGGUCUGCGAAUGCCCCACGAGGCGUCAUGCCGGAAUUUCGCGUCCAGUCUCAAAAGUAGGACGUAAAUCAUG
rfam:Rhizobium sp. 58 contig8, whole genome shotgun sequence.